GACUCCGGGAUAAGCGGUGGAAACGCCGUCUAAUACCGGAUACGACCCGCCACCUCAUGGUGGAGGGUGGAAAGUUUUUCGGUCAGGGAUGGGCUCGCGGCCUAUCAGCUUGUUGGUGGGGUAACGGCCUACCAAGGCGAUUACGGGUAGCCGGCCUGAGAGGGCGACCGGCCACACUGGGACUGAGACACGGCCCAGACUCCUGCGGGAGGCAGCAGUGGGGAAUAUUGCGCAAUGGGCGAAAGCCUGACGCAGCGACGCCGCGUGGGGGAUGACGGCCUUCGGGUUGUAAACCUCUUUUACCACCAACGCAGGCCCGGAGUUCUCUUCGGGUUGACGGUAGGUGGGGAAUAAGGACCGGCUAACUACGUGCCAGCAGCCGCGGUAAUACGUAGGGUCCGAGCGUUGUCCGGAAUUAUUGGGCGUAAAGAGCUCGUAGGCGGCGUGUCGCGUCUGCUGUGAAAGACCGGGGCUUAACUCCGGUUCUGCAGUGGAUACGGGCAUGCUAGAG
rnacentral:rRNA from 1 species